ensembl:lncRNA
GAAUUCUCCUCCAGAGGCCAAAAAUCCCAGCUACUUUCGUGGUUCAGCAACAACCUUUCCAUAUCCUUAUAUCAGCAAGGCAGAAUUAAAUUAUCGGAUUCCUAAAGCAGUUCCCCUUUGGACUUACCUGUGGAAAUUGCUGAAUGGGAAGGGUCAGGGAACUGAGGGUCCAUGAUUUGGUUCAGUAACUUUUGGCAGGCUGACCAAAACCCUCCCCUGCCUUCCCGCUGCUUUUCAUGCAACCCUGUUAAUGACCACCAGCUGUGGGGCCACUCCUCUGACCACUUUGCCUGGCCUCCUGGGUCUUCAGUGCUUUCAGGGCUAAGGGGCCUCUAUAGUCUCCUGCUCUCUGGCUUCCCCCUGCCUCAAGGAUCUCCACCUCCCAGAGCAUUGCCAAUUCAGCAGGAGCUUCCCUGGGGUUUCUCUCAAAACUAAUUCUCAGCUAUCCUGCCUGGAGAAUAUAAGCCUUGGUGUCAGCAUCCUUGGAGUGAAAUAGAGCAAGAGGGCUGGGCAAGUUUCAUCAUUCAGCAUUUCAAAAUGGGUCAUAAAGCAGCAGAGACAACUUGCAACAUCAACAACCCAUUUGGCCAGGGAAGUGCUAAUGAAUGUACAGUGCAACGGUGGUUCAAGAAGUUUUGCAAAGGAGAUGAGAGCCUUGAAGAUGAGGAGUGUAGUGGCCAGCCAUCAGAAGUUGACAAUGACAACUGAGAGCCAUCAUUGAAGCUAAUCCUGACAACUACAUGAGAAGUUGACGAAGAACUCAACAUCAACCAUUUUAAUGUCAUGCAGCUUUUGAAGCAAAUUGGAAAGGUGAAAAAGCUCCCUAAAUGUGAGCCUCAGUGAGCUGACCAAAAAUCAAAAAAAUCAUCAUUUUGAAGUGUCAUUUCCCCUUAUUUUAUGCAACAACAAAUCAUUUUUUGAUUGGAUUGUAACAGAUGAUGAGAAG